rnacentral:rRNA from 1 species
UACGGAGGGUGCAAGCGUUGCUCGGAAUUAUUGGGCGUAAAGGGCAAGUAGGUGGUCUCAUUUGUCAGGGGUGAAAGCCUUGGGCUUAACUCAAGAAGUGCCCCUGAAACGGUGAGACUAGAGUGCUGGAGGGGGUCGUGGAAUUCCCGGUGUAGCGGUGAAAUGCGUAGAGAUCGGGAGGAACACCAGAGGCGAAGGCGGCGACCUGGACAGCGACUGACACUCAACUGCGAAAGCGUGGGGAGCAAACAGG